rnacentral:rRNA from 1 species
UACAGAGGUCUCGAGCGUUGUUCGGAUUCAUUGGGCGUAAAGGGUGUGUAGGUGGCGCCGUUAGUCGGGUGUGAAAUUUCGGAGCUUAACUCCGAAACUGCAUUCGAUACUGCGGUGCUUGAGGACUGGAGAGGAGACUGGAAUUCAUGGUGUAGCAGUGAAAUGCGUAGAGAUCAUGAGGAAGACCAGUGGCGAAGGCGGGUCUCUGGACAGUUCCUGACACUGAGACACGAAGGCCAGGGGAGCAAACGGG